rnacentral:rRNA from 1 species
UGGGGAAUAUUGGACAAUGGGCGAAAGCCUGAUCCAGCAAUGCCGCGUGUGUGACGAAGGCCUGCGGGUUGUAAAGCACUUUCGUUGGGGAAGAAAUGCUCAAGGCUAAUACCCUUGAGAGUUGACGUUACCCAAAGAAGAAGCACCGGCUAACUCUGUACCAGCAGCCGCGGUAAUACAGAGGGUGCAAGCGUUAAUCGGAGUUACUGGGCGUAAAGGGCGCGUAGGUGGAUAUCUAAGUCGGAUGUGAAAUCCCCGGGCUUAACCUGGGAAUUGCAUUCGAUACUGGAUAUCUAGAGUAUGGUAGAGGAAAGCGGAAUUCCCGGUGUAGCGGUGAAAUGCGUAGAUAUCGGGAAGAACAUCAGGGCGAAGGCGGCUUUCUGGACCAAUACUGACACUGAGGCGCGAAAGCGUGGGGAGCAAACA